AGAAACUAACAAGGAUUCCCUAGUAACUGCGAGUGAAGCGGGAAAAGCUCAAAUUUAAAAUCUGGCGGUCUCUGGCCGUCCGAGUUGUAAUCUAGAGAAGUAAUGCCCGUGCUGGACCGUGUAUAAGUCUCCUGGGAUGGGGCGUCAUAGAGGGUGAGAAUCCCGUCUUUGACACGGACUACCAGUACAUUGUGGUAUGCUCUCAAAGAGUCGAGUUGUUUGGGAAUGCAGCUCAAAAUGGGUGGUAAAUUCCAUCUAAAGCUAAAUAUUGGCGAGAGACCGAUAGCGAACAAGUACCGUGAGGGAAAGAUGAAAAGAACUUUGGAAAGAGAGUUAAACAGUACGUGAAAUUGCUGAAAGGGAAACGCUUGAAGUCAGUCGCGUUGGCCGGGGAUCAGCCUUGCUUUUGCAUGGUGUACUUUCUGGUUGACGGGUCAGCAUCAAUUUUGACCGCUGGAAAAAGACCUGGGGAAUGUGGCAGCUUCGGCUGUGUUAUAGCCCCUAGUCGCAUACAGUGGUUGGGAUUGAGGAACUCAGCACGCCGCAAGGCCGGGUUUCGACCACGUUCGUGCUUAGGAUGCUGGCAUAAUGGCUUUAAGCGACCCGUCUUGAAACACGGACCAAGGAGUCUAACAUGCCUGCGAGUAUUUGGGUGGAAAACCCAAGUGCGUAAUGAAAGUGAAAGUUGAGAUCCCUGUCGUGGGGAGCAUCGACGCCCGGACCAGAACUUUUGGGACGGAUCCGCGGUGGAGCAUGUAUGUUGGGACCCGAAAGAUGGUGAACUAUGCCUGAAUAGGGUGAAGCCAGAGGAAACUCUGGUGGAGGCUCGUAGCGAUUCUGACGUGCAAAUCGAUCGUCAAAUUUGGGUAUAGGGGCGAAAGACUAAUCGAACCAUCUAGUAGCUGG
rnacentral:rRNA from 1 species